rnacentral:rRNA from 1 species
CCUACGGGAGACAGCAGUGGGGAAUAUUGGGCAAUGGGCGCAAGCCUGACCCAGCAACGCUGCGUGAGGGAAGACGGCCCUAUGGGUUGUAAACCUCUUUUGUCGGAGAACAAAACCCGGGACGUGUCCCGGACUGCGUGUAUCCGAAGAAAAAGCAUCGGCUAACUCCGUGCCAGCAGCCGCGGUAAUACGGAGGAUGCGAGCGUUAUCCGGAUUUAUUGGGUUUAAAGGGUGCGUAGGCGGUCCGUUAAGUCAGCGGUAAAAUUGCGGGGCUCAACCCCGUCGAGCCGUUGAAACUGGCGGACUUGAGUUGGAGAGAAGUAUGCGGAAUGCGCGGUGUAGCGGUGAAAUGCAUAGAUAUCGCGCAGAACUCCGAUUGCGAAGGCAGCAUGCCGGCUCCACACUGACGCUGAGGCACGAAAGCGUGGGUAUCGAACAGGAUUAGAUACCCUAGUAGUC